rnacentral:rRNA from 1 species
CCUACGGGUGGCAGCAGUGAGGAAUAUUGGUCAAUGGACGCAAGUCUGAACCAGCCAUGCCGCGUGCAGGAAGACGGCUCUAUGAGUUGUAAACUGCUUUUGUACGAGGGUAAACGCAGGUACGCGUAUCUGUUUGAAAGUACCGUACGAAUAAGGAUCGGCUAACUCCGUGCCAGCAGCCGCGGUAAUACGGAGGAUUCAAGCGUUAUCCGGAUUUAUUGGGUUUAAAGGGUGCGUAGGUGGUCGGAUAAGUUAGAGGUGAAAGUCCGGGGCUCAACUUCGGAAUUGCCGCUGAUACUGGUCGGCUAGAGAAUAGUUGCGGUAGGCGGAAUGUAUGGUGUAGCGGUGAAAUGCUUAGAGAUCAUACAGAACACCGAUUGCGAAGGCAGCUUACCAAGCUACUUCUGACAUUGAGGCACGAAAGCGUGGGGAGCAAACAGGAUUAGAUACCCGAGUAGUC